UGCUCUAGGUACAGAUGAAUUUGGAGUCUAUGGGGCCUGAAGCUUACAGUUGGGUUGCCAGGGCAGGGGAUCCUUUUUAAGAAAAUAGUACAAAAUUAGGUAGACCCUUGGAAGGGGCCUAUGCAAGUGAGGGACCUGGAAGCUUAAGCUUCAGAAAGAGAUAUGUGUGGAGAGGAACAUAAAAUAGGAUGAGGAGAUAUAGCAUAAAGGAGGGGGAGACUGCUCUAGACUGGGGUCCUCAGGGAAGAUUGACUUCUGAGCUGCAAACCAAAUGACAAGGAACUGGCCAGGGGGCCAUCUGUGUGAAGAGCAUUCUGAGCAGAAGGAACAGCACAUGCAAAGGCCCUGAGGCUAAAACAGGCUUGGAAUGCCAGGACCCGGAGAAGAUCAGUGUACCCAGAGUAUGAGCACUUGGGAAACCAAGGGCUGAUCUGUACCUGCACUGCUGGACUUCAUGGGUCUGGACGGCUUCGGAAAUCCCAGGUCAAACCCGUUUCAUAUAGACAGCCUCAAGGUGCCCUGAGCAACCCCCAAGGACCCCGGGAGUGAGCACCCUUGUUUCCAGCAUAUCCGACAGCCAUGUUUGAGGUGGAAGGGAACGAAGCCCUCUGAGCAAACACCCUGCUACGGUCUGGCUGGGACAGCGGCGGCCAUGCCCGCUCCUCGGUCUUCAGAUGACUGAUGUCCAUGGGAACCUCUAAGAUGCUCCAGCCUCCAGCGGGAAGCCUGCCACUCAGGAGGAGAGGAAGAAGGAGUCGUAUUGCUGCAGGUGGCUCAUAAACAGGUCUGCCCUGUGGUGAAGGGGGAGGGAGACUGGAGUGGGAAGAGAGUCUUCAAGCCAGGGAAGGAGGGGGCAGUGGGGGCCUGUGGAGCUGGAGCAGCAGGGGGAUGCAGUCAGGGCCGGGAAGCCUUGGGCUUUCCACCCCCACCGCGCCCCAGAGGAAUCCGCAGGGAUUAAGGGCCUCCCUGGACAAGGCCAGGACAACAUCCCUGCAUGCCUUGGAAUCUAAAGCAAGAAACCAAUCAAUGUGGUAGCCCACCUGCUUGGGUCUUGGGAACGGGAGGACCAGGUGGGGAAGAGCUGGUCUCCUCUCCUGUGGUGUCUGCUGCCAGAGAGGACUGGGUUGUAGCAGUGUGUGUGAGACAUCCGAACAAUGGGCUUGGGGCCAGGCCAGAGUGAUUCUUGCUGGGCCAGGAGGAAAAUAUUUGCUCACAGUUCAGGUAAUGAGAGAGUCAAGCUGGAAAAGGGGAGGUAGAAAAGCACCUUGAUAAACUUGAGGAACUGGUUAACUACUAAUCGGAUCCCAGCAGGCCUGCCUUAAGUGGGAACAAAAAACAGCUGGGGCGGUCCUGGGGAUUCCCAGAAAAAACAACCAGCCGACCAUUAAACAAAGAAACAAUGGAGAGAGACUACAAACAGUGCUUGUGGCCUGGAUACUCGACACCAGUGAUCCUCAACACCAGUCCACCCUGAGACCCUGCCCCCAGUCUACUGAAAAUUAAGGCAGGUAAAGCUAUCUUUGGAGAGAGGGAAGCAGUGAGAGUUGUGUUCAGCUGUCAGUGGAAGGAGACCAAAAGACUGAAAAGGCUAAUGCAGGCAACCUGGGUGGGGCCCCAGGAAGAUAGGAUUGUAAACAGGUAAAAGAAACCUCAUUCUAUCUCUUUUACUUGGUCAACACAAAGCUCUUCUUGGGAUGGGGCAGGACAGUUGGUUGACAAAGAGCCAGAAGGUGGCAGUGUCUACCCAGGGAGGGGCGGUGGGCAGGGCCCCUGGCUGAGAUGUCCCUCUCCAGACCACAGCCAGAGUCACCCAGGUGUGCAGCCCCAUGUCACCCCUUGCCCUGAUCCACACCUGCCAGGUCUUCCUCCCUUGGCCUGGUCCCCGAGUUGGUCUGCCCAUGAGGCAAGGCCAGGCAGGGACAAAGUACCCAGGCAGUGACCUGUGUGCCAGCUGGGCUGACCUUGGACUUUGCGAUCUAAAUAAAAUCUCUUCCCACUCCCAUCCCACAGGAGGUAGGGCGCCUAGCAUCCUCCUCACUGUUUCCAGGGUUCAAGAUGGCUUGUUUUCCAGUCCCCCUGGCUGGAGUCCUGCACCACUGACCUCCCAAGCCCCUUCCUCACUUCCCUCUGUUGUGCACCCAUCCUGGACUUGGAGUCAGUCUUUUAUCUAUGAUUUGUCCUUACACAAGACAUAGAUUGGGGCAAUAGAGGAGGAUACUUGGCAGGAAAACAAACAGUUCAACAUGAAAUAUUACUGAUCCUGGGCUAAAAAGUUCUUUGGUAUAAAAAUCCCAAUGAUGUUUCUUGCAGAAAGAGAAAAAUCCAUCCUAAAAUUCAUAUAGAAUCUCAAGAGGCCCUGAAUAGCCAAACAAUCUUUAAAAGAAGAACAAAGUUGAAGGUCUCACACUUUCUGAUUUCAAAACUUACUAUAAAGCUCCAGAAUCAAAACAGCAUGUGGCUAGCAUAAAGACGUAAGCCAAAGAAAUAGAAAAGAGAACUCAGAAAUAAGUUUCUCGUAUUGAGAGUCAAAUGAUCUUCAACAAGUGUGCCAAGACCAAUCAAUAGGGAAAGGACAGCCUUUUCAACAGCUGAGGCUGGGAAAAUUGGAUUUCCACAUGCAAAUGAAAAGUUGGACCCUUACUAACACCAUAUACAAAAAUUUACUCAAAAUGGAUCAAAGACCUAAACGCAAGAGCUAAAACUACAAAACUCAGAAUGAAACAUAUGAGGACAGCUCCAUGACGUUGGAUGUGGUUUAUAUAUGGUUUCUUGGAUAUGACAGACAACAAAAUUAAAAAUAGACAAGUUGAACGAUGUCAAAAUUUAAAACUUCUGUGCAUUUAAGGAGACAAUCAACAGAGUGAAAAGGCAACCCACAGAAAGGAAGAAAAUAUUUAGAAAUCAUAGAUCUGAUAUAGGGUUAAUGACCAAAGAAUAUAACUCCUACAACUCAACAACAGAAAAACAAACAUCUGAUUUUAAAAUGGGCAAAUGAUUUGAGUAGACGUUUUGUCCAAAGAGGAUGUUUAAAUGGCUGAUAAGCACAUACAAAGUUGAUCAACAUCUCUAAUCACUAGGAAAAUGCAAGUUAAUACCACUUCAAAAAAAAACACCACUUCACAUACAUUAGGAUGGCUACUAUUUUUAAAAAAAGAAUAAAUAUUGGUGAAGAGGUGGAGAAAUUAGAAUUCUUUUUUUUUAAUUUAUUGAGUAUUCGAGGAUGUACAAUAUUAUAUAAUUUUCAGGUGUACAAAAUAGUGAUUCACAAUUUUUAAAAGUUAUAUUCCAUUUGUAGCCAAUUUACAUUCCCACCAACAGUGUACAUGGAUUCCCUUUUCUUCACAUCCUCACCAACAUUUGUAGUUUAUGUCUUUUGAUGAUACCAUUCUGACAGGUAUGAGGUGAUAUCUCAUUGUGGUUUUAAUUUGCAGUUCUCUGGUGAUUAAUAAUGUUGAGCAUCUUUUGUUGUGCCUCUUGGCCAUCUGUAUGCCUUCUUUGGGAAAAUAUCUAUUCAUGUCUUCUGCCUAUUUUUCAGUUGGGUUAUUUGGGGUUUUUUAAUGUUGAGUUGUAUAAGCUCUUUAUAUAUUUUUUUUUAUAUUGACCACUACCAGUCAUAUCAUUUGCAAAUAUUUUCUCCCACUCAAUAGGUUGUCUUUUCAGAAAAUGGAACUCUUUUACACUAUUGGUGAGAAUGUAAAAUGGUACAGCCACUGUAGAAAAUAGUAUGGCAAUUUCUCAAAAAUUAAAAAUAGAAUUACCGUAUAACCCAGCAAUUCCACUUCUGGGUGGAUACCUGAAAGAAUUGAAAGCAAGAUUUCAAAGAGAUACUUGUAUGCCCAUAUUCAUAGCAGCACUCAUCACAAUAGCCAAAAAAUGGAAGCAACCCAAGUGUCUACUAGUGGAGGAAUGGAUAAACAAAAUGUGGUUAAAAAUACAGUAGAAUGUUACUCAGCCUUAAAAAGGAAGAAAAUUCUGACACAUGCUAUAUCGUGGAUUAACCUUGAGGGCGUUAUGCUAAGUGAAAUAAGCCAGACACUAAAGGACAAAUAUAGUGUGUUUCCACUUAUAUGAGGUACCCAGAGGAGUCAAAUGCAAAGAGACAAAGUAAAUGGUGGUUGCCUGGGGCCAGGGAAAUGAAGAGAUUUAAUGGGCACUGGGUUUUAGUUUGGGAAGAUGAAAAGAAUUCUGAAGAUGGAUGGUGGUGAUGAUUACACAACAAGGAGAAUGUACUUAAUGCCACUGAACUGUACACCUAGAAAUGGUUAAGAUGGUAAAUUUUAUGUUAUGUGUAUUUUA